CAGCCGCCGCGGUAAUACCAGCACCCCGAGUGGUCGGGACGAUUAUUGGGCCUAAAGCAUCCGUAGCCGGUACUGCAUGUCUUCCGUUAAAUCCACCUGCUCAACAGUUGGGCUGCGGAGGAUACUACAGCGCUAGGAGGCGGGGGAGGCAAGCGGUACUCAGUGGGUAGGGGUAAAAUCCACUGAUCCAUUGAAGACCACCAGUGGCGAAGGCGGCUUGCCAGAACGCGCUCGACGGUGAGGGAUGAAAGCUGGGGGAGCAAACCGGAUUAGAUACCCGGGUAGUCCCAGCUGUAAACGAUGCAGACUCGGUGAUGGGCUGGCCUUGUGCCAACCCAGUGCCGCAGGGAAGCCGUUAAGUCUGCCGCCUGGGGAGUACGGUCGCAAGACUGAAACUUAAAGGAAUUGACGG
rnacentral:rRNA from 1 species